rnacentral:rRNA from 1 species
GCAAGUCGAGGGGCAGCGUAGAUUGCUUGCAAUCUGACGGCGACCGGCGAACGGGUGCGUAACGCGUAUAGAACCUACCUUUUACAGAGGGAUACCCCAUGGAAACGUGGACUAAUACCUCAUGGUAUAUUUGAGUGGCAUCACUUAGAUAUUAAAGAUUUAUCGGUAAGAGAUGGCUAUGCGUCCUAUUAGCUAGAUGGUAAGGUAACGGCUUACCAUGGCAUUGAUAGGUAGGGGUCCUGAGAGGGAGAUC